AGUGGAUGGGGAACAACCUAGUUGUGCGUGUGUAAAGGUAGUGCCAAGAAAAGCGGUGAUCAUGAUGAAAAUCAAUUCCCGGUACCCGAAACCGACACAAGUGGGCAAGUAGAGAAUACUAAGGGGCGCGAGGUAACUCUCUCCAAGGAACUCGGCAAAAUGACCCCGUAACUUAGGGAGAAGGGGUGCCACCGAGAGGUGGUCGCAGUGAAGAGGCCCAGGCGACUGUUUAGCAAAAACAUAGGUCUCUGCAAACUCGAAAGAGGAGGUAUAGGGGCUGACGCCUGCCCAGUGCCGGAAGGUUAAAGAAGUUGGUCAGUCAUAGGAUGAAGCUAGCGACUGAAGCCCCGGUGAACGGCGGCCGCAACUAUAACGGUCCUAAGGUAGCGAAAUUCCUUGUCGGGUAAGUUCCGACCCGCACGAAAGGCGUAACGAUCUGGGCGCUGUCUCGGAGAGAGGCUCGGCGAAAUAGGAUUGUCUGUGAAGAUACGGACUACCUGCAUUUGGACAGAAAGACCCUAUGAAGCUUUACUAUAGCUUGGAAUUGUGUUCGGGCUUCCUGUGCGCAGGAUAGGUGGGAGGCGUAGAAGGUAUUCUUGUGGGGAUACUGGAGCCAACGGUGAGAUACCACUCUCAGGAGGCUAGAAUUCUAACUUAAUUAAGGACAGUUUCAGGUGGGUAGUUUGACUGGGGCGGUCGCCUCCAAAAAGGUAACGGAGGCGUACAAAGGUUCCCUCAGACUGGUUGGAAACCAGUCGCAGAGUGCAAAGGCAGAAGGGAGCUUGACUGCGAGAAGUACAGUUCGAGCAGGGUGGAAACACGGUCUUAGUGAUCCGACGGUGCUGUGUGGAAGGGCCGUCGCUCAACGGAUAAAAGUUACUCUAGGAUAACAGGCUGAUCUCCCCCAAGAGUUCACAUCGACGGGGAGGUUUGGCACCUCGAUGUCGGCUCAUCGCAACCUGGGGCGGAAGUACGUCCCAAGGGUUGGGCUGUUCGCCCAUUAAAGCGGUACGUGAGCUGGGUUCAGAACGUCGUGAGACAGUUCGGUCCAUAUCCGAUGUAGGCGUGAGAAUAUUGAGAGGAGCCUUCCUUAGUACGAGAGGACCGGGAAGGACGCACCGCUGGUGUACCUGUUAUGAUGCCAAUUGUAAACGCAGGGUAGCCAAGUGCGGAGAGGAUAACCGCUGAAAGCAUCUAAGUGGGAAGCCCACCUCAAGAUGAGUAUUCUGGUGUAAGGUCACGGGAAGACGACCCGUAAAUAGGCACGAGGUGGAAGUGCAGAGAUGUAUGAAGCCGAAGUGUACUAAUAGACCGUCGGCUUGACC
rnacentral:rRNA from 1 species